UGGCAAUGAUGUAUGAACUCACGAUGGUCUGCAGAGCCCUCUCGUGAGUGGGAGGCUGCUGAAAACACCGCACUGGCAGUCACUGAAUCAUAGAG